CUAUCACUCCUACGGGAGGCAGCAGUGGGGAAUAUUGCACAAUGGGCGCAAGCCUGAUGCAGCCAUGCCGCGUGUGUGAAGAAGGCCUUCGGGUUGUAAAGCACUUUCAGUCGUGAGGAAGGUAGUGUAGUUAAUAGCUGCAUUAUUUGACGUUAGCGACAGAAGAAGCACCGGCUAACUCCGUGCCAGCAGCCGCGGUAAUACGGAGGGUGCGAGCGUUAUCCGGAUUUAUUGGGUUUAAAGGGUCCGUAGGCGGAUUAAUAAGUCAGUGGUGAAAUCCCAUCGCUUAACGAUGGAACUGCCAUUGAUACUGUUAGUCUUGAAUGAGGGUGCAGUGGUUGGAAUGUGUAGUGUAGCGGUGAAAUGCAUAGAUAUUACACAGAACACCGAUUGCGAAGGCAGAUCACUAACCCUAAAUUGACGCUGAGGACAGAAGCGUGGGGAGCGAACAGGAUUAGAUACCCUGGUAG
rnacentral:rRNA from 1 species